AGAGUUUGAUCCUGGCUCAGGACGAACGCUGGCGGCGUGCCUAACACAUGCAAGUCGAACGGAACUGUUUUGAAAGAUUUCUUCGGAAUGAAUUUGAUUUAGUUUAGUGGCGGACGGGUGAGUAACGCGUGAGUAACCUGCCUUCAAGAGGGGGAUAACAUUCUGAAAAGAAUGCUAAUACCGCAUGACAUAUCGGAACCACAUGGUUUUGAUAUCAAAGAUUUUAUCGCUUGAAGAUGGACUCGCGUCCGAUUAGUUAGUUGGUGAGGUAACGGCUCACCAAGACCGCGAUCGGUAGCCGGACUGAGAGGUUGAACGGCCACAUUGGGACUGAGACACGGCCCAGACUCCUACGGGAGGCAGCAGUGGGGGAUAUUGCGCAAUGGGGGCAACCCUGACGCAGCAACGCCGCGUGAAGGAUGAAGGUUUUCGGAUUGUAAACUUCUUUUAUUAAGGACGAAACUUGACGGUACUUAAUGAAUAAGCUCCGGCUAACUACGUGCCAGCAGCCGCGGUAAUACGUAGGGAGCAAGCGUUGUCCGGAUUUACUGGGUGUAAAGGGUGCGUAGGCGGCUUUGCAAGUCAGAUGUGAAAUCUAUGGGCUCAACCCAUAAACUGCAUUUGAAACUGUAGAGCUUGAGUGAAGUAGAGGCAGGCGGAAUUCCCCGUGUAGCGGUGAAAUGCGUAGAGAUGGGGAGGAACACCAGUGGCGAAGGCGGCCUGCUGGGCUUUAACUGACGCUGAGGCACGAAAGCGUGGGUAGCAAACAGGAUUAGAUACCCUGGUAGUCCACGCUGUAAACGAUGAUUACUAGGUGUGGGGGGACUGACCCCUUCCGUGCCGCAGUUAACACAAUAAGUAAUCCACCUGGGGAGUACGACCGCAAGGUUGAAACUCAAAGGAAUUGACGGGGGCCCGCACAAGCAGUGGAGUAUGUGGUUUAAUUCGAAGCAACGCGAAGAACCUUACCAGGUCUUGACAUCCAACUAACGAAGUAGAGAUACAUUAGGUGCCCUUCGGGGAAAGUUGAGACAGGUGGUGCAUGGUUGUCGUCAGCUCGUGUCGUGAGAUGUUGGGUUAAGU
rnacentral:rRNA from 1 species